UUUCCGUAGGUGAACCUGCGGAAGGAUCAUUAAUAAUAAGUGUGUUAUGGCACUUUUUUUAAUCCAUAUCCACCUUGUGUGCAAUGUCACUGUGGAUUGUCCUCUCGAUGGUGUCAGCCUGAAACAUCGACCAUAUCUCAACUCUUUGUCUGAGAAAUAUUAUGAAUAAAACAAUACAAAAUACAACUUUCAACAACGGAUCUCUUGGCUCUC
rnacentral:misc_RNA from 1 species